GGGCUCUGUGAUUGUGGUGGUUGGGACAUCGGAUGUCCUCUAACAGUACUUGAAGGUCAAUCGGUCAACGAUGAUACUAUACGCCAAGCAGACACACAAGAGUGCAGGGCAUUUAACAUACAUGCUAAGGGUUAUGAGAAUGGUUCUCCAACAUUGAGGAUGGUGAACAUCCGCGACGGCUUGUACUUUGUUCAUUUUCAACCAAAACU
rnacentral:misc_RNA from 1 species